UAGACUGGGGUUUUUUACAAUUAGGAGAUUACAAUAACACUGGUUUAUUUUGGAAUUAGGAGAUUACAAUAGACUGGGGUUUUUUGGAAUUAGGAGAUUACAACACACUGGGUUUUUUGGAAUUAGGAGAUUACAACACACUGGGUUUUUUGGAAUUAGGAGAUUACAAUAGACUGGGUUCUUUGGAAUUUGGAGAUUACAAUACACUGGGGUUUUUUUUUGGAAUUUGGAGAUUACAAUACCCUGGGUUUUUGGAAUUAGGAGAUUACAAUACACUGGGGUUUUUUUAAUUAGGAGAUUACAAUACACUGGGUUUUUGGAAUUUGGAGAUUACAAUACACUGGUUUAUUUUGGAAUUAGGAGAUUACAAUACACUGGUUUUUUUACCAUUAGGAGAUUACAAUACACUGGUUUGUUUUUUUUUUUUUUUUUUUUUGGAAUUUGGAGAUUACAAUACCCUGGUUUUUUGGAAUUAGGAGAUGAUAAUACACUGGGGUUUUUUUAAUUUGGAGAUUACAAUACACUGGGGUUUUGGAGUUAGGAGAUUACAAUACACUGGGUUUUUUAAAUUAGGAGAUUACAAUACACUGGUUUGUUUUUUUUUUUUUUAAUUAGGAGAUUACAACACACUGUUUUUUUUACAAUUAGGAGAUUACAACACAUUGGGUUUUUUGGAAUUAGGAGAUUACAAUAGACUGGUUUAUUUGGAAUUUGGAGAUUACAAUACACUGGUUUUUUUACAAUUUAGGGAUUACAAUACACUGGCUUUUUUACAGUUAGGAAAUUAUAAUACACUGGCUUUUUUGGAAUUAGGAGAUUACAAUACACUGGGUUUUUUUACAAUUAGGAAAUUACAAUACACUGGCUUUUUUACAGUUAGGAAAUUAUAAUACACUGGUUUUGUUUGGAAUUGUGAGAUUACAAUACACUGGCUUUUUUUGGAAUUAGGGAAUUACAAUACACUGUCUUUUUUACAGUUAGGAAAUUACAAAUGCACUGGGGUUUUUUUUUUAAUUAGGA